CGCUAUAGUUUUCUCCCUAGCCUUCUCCUUCCCUUUCAUCCUCCGUUGUAUUCUCAAUCUCAUCCACGAAGUCCACCUCCUCUCGGUCUUGCCAUGCUCCCUCACGACUUGCUGCGCUGGGACUACCAGGGCUGCAGCACCCAACAGGAGGUUAUCCCCAUGCUUUCUCAGCUCAACACCCGAUUUAACAUCUGGAGGAGGUAGAGGGAGGCCAGGGGCAUAACUAAACUGAAGGACCAACGCACUGUGGAAAGAAGAGGGGGCCGCAGGCUGGCUGCUUUUAGCGUGGCUGCACUGGAUGAAGGAUUGGAGGACAGUCUGUGCGUUCCUGCUACUUCGGAGAGGAGGUAGAGGGAGGACAGCGGCAUGAUUAUCCUGAAGGACCAACGCAUUGUGGAGGGGACAGGGGGCCUCUGGCUGGUUGCUUUUAGCGUGGCUGGACUCCAUGAAAGAUUGGAGAAUAGUUCGUGCAUUCCUGCUUCUCCCCGUUUGAGGAGGGUCUACAGAGAAGAUCUGAGGCAGAGGAUGGAGGAGGACGAGAUUGCAGAGAGGAUUGGCUAGGAGACGUUGUUGCUCCCCUUGGCAGGAGGGUUGGAGGAUCGACGAAGGAGGUGUGUAAUCUCUUGACUCUGGGUCGAUGCUACAGCAUUGCCGACAGCUUAAGCCAGGUUUCUGCAGAUUUCGUCUUCCUGUGUGCUGCCCAUACUUAAUUUAUUCUUUAAAUAUCAUGACAUGGCUUUCUGUAUUGUUCAUCUUCCAUGUUAACUCAGGCUUUUGCUUGCAUUCUAUCGAGCCUAAUCUGCAGCAGCAUCUUAAGAUGGUACUAUCUAUACUCGGUUCAUGUAUCAUCUAAGUUACAUGCCAACAAUUGGGACCUUCCACUCCAAACAUCUCCCACAUUAACUGAAACGUGUGCAUUUUUUGUGGAUCCUAAUUUGAUGUAGAUGAAUUGUGUUAAUGUGGAAGUCUGAUCGAUUUAUUUUCUAAACAUCAAUUGUAGUUCUAUGGUUCAGUUGUAUUUUAUACAGUUUUAAUUAAGGUAUACGUAUUUUAAUAUAUCGCUCAAUCUAUUAUUGUACCAGCAAGGUAAUGAGCUAUAUUAGAUUCUUCAAUAUUUAUUCUGCCUAACUUCAGUGCGAUUUUAUUCAGGCACAUGUGCACAAGUAACAUAUGUCAAUUAUUGACAAAUCUGGCAUUUCAUAAGUUUCUACAUGGGAGCUCGCAUGUGCGUAAACUAUACCGGAGUGUGGGAUUCCUACCGAAGUUUCUGAUUAUGAAUGAUUUGCAACAUGACUGUCGCAGGGUGCAUCGGACGUUUCCAAUCUUUUGUACAGUAGCAUCAAAUUCAUGGUCAAAGGCCAGCCAAGGGCACUACCAAAAAGUGGCAUUGAUCCAUCGAUGCAAUUCCUUGAACGUGAUUCUCCACUAAUUUUUCCUGUACUGCAUCCUUUCUUCCUUUUAUUCAUUGAACAAAAGGAUCGAGCCAUGCAAACACGCAGAUUAGUUAUAAUUCAAUCAUCGCCAAGCUGUGUUAGGAAGAAACUCCAAAUGAUUGUUCUAAUUCCACGCUGAAGUCUCUUAUGGUCACUGCCUACGCAUGCUCACCUCUUGAACAAUUAGUGGAGUACCAUUGUGAAUCGGCUAAGUAGGGAGCUAAUGUGGUUGUCUCCUUGCAAGUACUGCAGCUAAGAAAGACGGGAGAGAGAAAUGCCAGUGGAAAACACUUAAAGUUGGAGGUGCACGAAUCUGUGAGUAUUUUUAUAUACUUAGUUGAUACACUUACAAAUAAAUUCUUUAAGGAGGAUUGAAUAUUAAAAUCAUUUGCUGAUGAGCUCUUCCGUAUGUGUUCCUGCAUUUCUAGCUUGAUCCAUCAUCAUAUAAUUGAAGGGCUCCAUGUAUGAUAUUACCUUUCUUUUUCUUAAUAACUCUGGUGGAGUGAUCAGGUGCAGUAUCUUCAUAGGUUUGUAGCACAAUAUAUCUAGCGUCUUUGAUUGUCAAAGCAUUACCCUGUCACUGUUGGACACACCUUCCUCCAGAGAUGCAUUGCUUCGUGGUCUCAAUGCGGACAAGAAGAAAGUAGUCCAAGCUAAAUACUCAAACACCCCAACGGCGGUAGUCUAGCCAUCUUUGCGCAAGUUCUUCAUCUGAUUUUU